rnacentral:rRNA from 1 species
UUGAACGCUGGCGGCAGGCCUAACACAUGCAAGUCGAGCGGAUGAAGGGAGCUUGCUCCUGGAUUCAGCGGCGGACGGGUGAGUAAUGCCUAGGAAUCUGCCUGGUAGUGGGGGAUAACGUCCGGAAACGGGCGCUAAUACCGCAUACGUCCUGAGGGAGAAAGUGGGGGAUCUUCGGACCUCACGCUAUCAGAUGAGCCUAGGUCGGAUUAGCUAGUUGGUGGGGUAAAGGCCUACCAAGGCGACGAUCCGUAACUGGUCUGAGAGGAUGAUCAGUCACACUGGAACUGAGUCACGGUCCAGACUCCUACGGGAGGCAGCAGUGGGGAAUAUUGGACAAUGGGCGAAAGCCUGAUCCAGCCAUGCCGCGUGUGUGAAGAAGGUCUUCGGAUUGUAAAGCACUUUAAGUUGGGAGGAAGGGCAGUAAGUUAAUACCUUGCUGUUUUGACGUUACCAACAGAAUAAGCACCGGCUAACUUCGUG